rnacentral:rRNA from 1 species
UACGUAGGGUGCAAGCGUUAAUCGGAAUUACUGGGCGUAAAGCGUGCGCAGGCGGUUGUGCAAGACCGAUGUGAAAUCCCCGGGCUUAACCUGGGAAUGGCAUUGGUGACUGCACGGCUAGAGUGUGUCGAGAGGGGGGUAGAAUUCCACGUGUAGCAGUGAAAUGCGUAGAGAUGUGGAGGAAUGACCGAUGGCGAAGGCCAGCCCC